rnacentral:SRP_RNA from 1 species
CGCCAGGAACUAUGCGGGGAAUCGCCGCCCAACCCCGUCAGGUCCGGAAGGAAGCAGCGGCAAGCGGUUGGUUCCCGCGCCGUAGCCCUCCUGGCGGCG